rnacentral:tRNA from 1 species
GCUUAGGUAGUAAAAAAAUUACGGCAGUUUUUCGUGUUGCAGUUGGGUUCGCCCCUUAAGUU